GCUGACGGCCGUUAAAUUCUUUCGGCUAUUAUCCUACGUGGACGUGCAAAAGAAAAGAAACUGAUAGCAUAUUUUCGUCAUCCUUAUCUGUUCUUUAACCGAUGAUUAAGCAAGGUUUCACAAGCAUUCACCGCCUUCACUGACACUGGACAACUUAGACCUCCAUCUCCAUCUUCAUCGGCCCACCACUUGAAUUUCUGGACUAUCGGAGGGAGAAAAACCCGGUGAUAUUCAAAAUGAUGUGGAGAAUGGGCUUUAUUAUCUAAUGUGGCGGUUCGGUCUGGGAUGUUAGAUCUUGAUGGUUAUUUGCUGGUGGUUGUGUUAUAGAUAAUGGCUCUUUUUGGACCAUGGAUGUUUUCUGUUUUUCUUGUUAUUUUUUUGUUCAUGCUUAGAUCUGGGUUUUGUCUGUUACUAUUGAAUUUUCGGUCGGACUUUAUGGGUUUUACUGAUUAUCUAUUUUAUUGUUUUGAAUCGGAUAAAUGUGAUGGUUUCUGUUAUGGUCCAUCACUGGUCAUUUGUGUAUUUGUGUAUUUAGAUCCGGUUCAUUUGUUAUUUGCUUUUUAGAUUCUGUUGGGUGUGUUUUUCGGUGUAAUAGCCAGCAGUAUUAGUCGAAAAUCAUGGCUUGUUUUAACUUUCGCUUGAUUUAGUUGUUAGCCGGAUUCUGCAAAUUUUUUGAUACAUGCUACUUUAGUCGAAUCUGGCAUCCAUGGUGGCUCUCCGGUGAUGGUUCUGGGGGGAUCAUUGUCAUAUUCCUUUCUUUUUUUUAAGGAAUUGAUUGCUGGGUAAUCUGCCAUGUCAUAUUCCUUUCUUUUUUUUCUUUUUUUGCAAGUCCACGUAGGAUAAUGGCUGAAAUAAUUUAACAGGUGUCAGUUCAGAU
rnacentral:lncRNA from 1 species